AAAUCCUUUUCUUUACUUCCUGCUUCGCUACUGUCCGAAUGGAUCUGCUUACUGCUCCACGCUUUGCUACCUUGCUUUUGCAUUUUAAUCUCUAAUUUUCAUAUCAGAAAUUCAGUACAGUGCUCAAAACGACAUAGUUUGGCACCAACUCUACAACCACAGAUUUUUGGGACUACAAAAUGGGAGUUUUUCUGUGACAGCGGUCUACCAGCCUCCUACAACAGGAAGUUUACAUUCCUGAAAAAGGACAACACAGCUUCCUUCACACAGACAGGCGAGAAAGAAAAUGCCUCCUUUCAGAUCAAACUCCACUUGCUGCACACUGCCAUAGACUUCUACAAAAAAAAAUCACAGUUCUUGAAACAAAACUACUUGCAGUACUUGCCAAAGGAAUACACAGGAGAGUGUCACUGUGGACACAAUCAGCCUAUAGCUGGUGAGUCCCUUGAAUCAAACGUUCCUUGACAGGCUACACUGAGCUUAGAAAACCCAGCAAAACAGAUGGCAAAAGUGGCUGACGAAAGUGAGAGCAAAACCAAUAGCAUAAACAGGGAACUAGACCCAAAGUUACUCGACAUAUCAUUAUAUUUAUAUCAUGAUUAUAUCAUAUUGCAGCAUUGGCAUCUUCCAUUCCAGUUAUGACUUGACUAACCAAUACUGGUAUACUUCCACCCCCAAUAUGUUUUGUAUAUAGAUUUGAACCAUUAAUGAAUGUGGAGAAAGAAACCCCAAACUUGAUUAGGCUUAGAUCAAAACAGCCAGCAGCUGGCAGGCGCUAAAGUUUGAGCAGGCAGUGGUAUUCAGCUGAGACCACAGCCGAGCCCAGCACUCUGAUAGUAGGGGACUACGUUAUUAGAAACUUUGGUAGCAGGGCUACUACCAUAAGACUGUGAAUGGAGUUAUUAUACAUAUGGGAAAAAGGAUUUUCAGAAAGAGCUGUCAGAACUCCUUAAGAGGGAUUUCAAUGAGAUUGAAAGUGCAGUCGUUCAGCAGUGGACCACUCCAAGCAAAGGAAAAAAUUUUGUUUUCUCAUUUGCUAAGUCUAAACACUUGGCUGCACAAAACCUGCAACAUGAGAGGACUAAACCACAUUGAUCAUUUUAAUCUUUUCGGGCAUCAAAGAGAAUUGUUUAAAUCGGAUAUCCUUCACCCAAACAAACACCACUGCAGUGUCCAGAUGACCACAGGAUCACACUUCAGCACUUGGAUGGACAUUUGAUUGACAAAUCCCUCAAUAACACAGCAAAGACACAACAACAUGGAGCUGAGCCCCCCACACAGAGCAUACUACAGUCAGACUGUGACGACUUAAAACUACUCCAAGAUACAGGACCUGGGGAAAAAGUAGAGAGUAGGGCGAUAACAACAUAUAUCAACCUCCUGAAACCCCAGAGUCACAGUCUCUGUCACCACACACCUCCCUCUUGUCAACAUCCCCACUUCUGGGCUUCUCUGUGAAAAUGGAGGAACAAGUUAUGCUGGUAGAAAGCUGUCCCACUCCAUUGCUGCUAGCCCCCAGAUCCCAACCAAAAAAUGGCGGGCCCCUCUACCACCAAAGCCUGCUGGCCCAGCUCACCCUCCCUGUGAGAGAGCUCUCCGGCCACUGCCACAACGCUAAGGUGUUUCUGUGUCUUCAACUUUACUGUGCGCUCUUGGCAAUGUUCCUGGUGAGAGAGAAAACGUGAAGGACAGGUGGCGUCGUAGUGAUGUCAAGUCACUAAACACAUUUUGUGUACACAGGUGUGUAGAUGACAAAACAACUUUAUUCGUCAACAGCUCAGCACAUCGAGAAAGGGAAAUGGCAAGGGAUCAACUGUCCGCUUCUCCUUUGAAAUGUUUCGUUUUCUAAGUGAGGCCCAUGGUUUCUCAUUGUACUGUUCAUCUCUGUACUCCAGAGGAUGAAAAUUAUUGGAUUCCUGUAAGCAUCUGUACCAUUGUCUUAUUGCAAAUAAGUUCUUCUGUGCUAUUGAAGGUCUUAUUUUCACAUAGUUUACUUGAUAACCCUUUUUUUAGGAGUGUAAAAGAGAGGUGAUUGUGGAUGAACAGUUUCAAAGCCUCCUGUCUUACAGACUAAUCAAACAUGAGGUCCCAGACAGGCCUAAGUUUAGACAGGUCCAUACAACAUUUUAAUACAUGGAUAACUUUUAAUGCAAUUGAGAAUAGGUACAGUGGAUAAAACGGGUACAGUGGCCCCAAAAAGUAUUUGGAUACUUAAGCCACACUUAAUAUAUUAAAAUGUAUAUUUCAGCCUGGCCUCAUGAAUUUUACAUGACCAUGGCAACAUAUUUUUUUUUUAAAAAUUACAUGUAUUACACGUUUGGCUGCGUGUUUCUCAGUGAUAUGUCAAAUACGAUUCAAAUUAUGCUGUAAUAAGAUAAGGUUAAGAUGAAUUUUAGAUGGAUGUUUUAAUGAGUAAAACAUACUUCUCUAACCUAAAACUUUGACCAAUGAGGUAAACAAAACCGACAUCCUUACCCUAACCAACACCUAAACCUAACUGAUAGUGUUUUUGUCGCAAAAGCACAUUUUAUGAAGCAACCACGUCAUUGCGUGUCGCUUGACACUUUUGUGUCACAUAUGAACUUCCAUGCUUGUUUGGGCUCAAACCACAUACUUCAGAGUCUAAAGUUGAACACUCUCAGGUGAGCUACUGCAGAAGCUAAUCGUGUUUGAGUAAGUGUGUAAAUGUAGGCGAGUCUGCCGAGUUUCUAUAUCAUAACUUAGCAGUGUGUGAGUGAAAGUGCAAAAAAUAUGUGUUUAUGAAGUCAUAA